rnacentral:lncRNA from 1 species
UGCACGUGUCUGCAACACCAUUGUCAUCCAAAUCAACCUCCAUUGUAUCACCCUCGUUGACUCACACCACCGCCUCCGUCGUUAAAUCGACCAUUGUUGCAUCUCCACUACGGUUCAUCUGCCGUCAUCGUUGACCUAUAUCAUAUGUGCUCUCACCUUGUAGCAGCUGCAACAAAAACAUUCUCAGACUAUUUCCAAUGUCCGAUUGAGAUGGCACCGGUGGUCGGAGUGCAUGAUGGUCACAUUUUGUCGAUUAUCUUGGACUCUCGUAGAGUGGUGGAGGAGAUGAAAAUGCUAUCCACAGUGUUCAAUUUGUCCUUUCAUUUUUAUUUAAAAUUAAAAAACAGUAUCAUCUAAAUCUUAAGAUUGAUUUAAUG